rnacentral:lncRNA from 1 species
GCAAUAACAGCACAAUUACAGCAAAUGUCUCCACCUUCACUGUCGGUUACUGCACACAGGUCUAGGUUACAAGUUCAAAAUUUCACUGAUUAUUGGUGCAUAAUUGGCUUCAUGUGGAUGAUAAACGUAUUACUGAUUGAUUAUCAUGACUUGGUCAUAUUUGAAAUGUCAAAGUAGAAAAUUGAAUUGUCAUAUUAUCACAUGUUCUCAUUCAAGCACCAGAUAAAUAUUACAAAUGAUGAUUUUCCACU